CACCGCGGUUAUACGAGAGACCCAAGUUGUUAGACACCGGCGUAAAGGGUGGUUAAGAUAAAUUAAAAACUAAAGGCGAACGCCCUCAGAGCUGUUAUACGCCCCCGAGAGUAAGAAGUCCAACUACGAAAGUGGCUUUAUAUUACCUGAACCCACGAAAGCUAUGACA
rnacentral:rRNA from 1 species